GGAUGACAAAAGAUAUGACCAUUUAGCCCUUAAUCUCUUCCUCUUGCUAUCCCUAAUAGAUGUCUUCCUUGGAAAGACCCUUCAUUAAAAGAAAGACUCCAGCACCAGAUGUCUGCUAUUUAAUUUCAACUAAUCAGUCCUAACUCGACUCUGCCACUGACUCUCUUCAUGGGUGAAAAUUAGUAUCUAAUUUUUGGUAGCUCACUGAGCAGUUUUUGGCAAAGUAACCAUUCAAGCCAUGCUUCCAUUUGUCUGCUAUUGUCCUGGUGGGAUGUUUCUCCAGUCUCACUGAUGUGUUCAUUAAUGUCAGUGUUCACGUUCAAUGGUGGUGAUUGGCGAAGACAGGGAACAAGAACCAGGAAGAAGAAGAGGCGCUGACAGUGAUGGCCCCGCUCAUAGGAGCAGUAGAAUAAUGCUGCAGUUUACUAGCUGGGGUUAGUAAUGUCCUCAUUUUCCCUCUCACUCUGAAUCUUUGCCCUGGAUAAGGGGGAGUUGAAUUUAGCUUUAAGAAGGGAUUAGUAAGAAGAGAAUGUGAAUGUUGGUUUGACAGGUGGGGUGGGGGAGGCCACUAAAGCCCAGGGGCCAACAGCCAUGCUAGCACUUGCUUUUCCUCCAUGUUCAAAACCCAGCACUAGUAGGUUUCCAUUCUAAAAAAACAUAACAAAAACUAAGCCAUUUGAGUGUGAAUGUUACUAACAACGUGGUGGUGAGGAUAUUUGGAUUAGAAUUUUAUCUUUUUUUUCAAGCUGAGGCUGUGUUUAAAAUUUCAUCGGUGAUUUCCCUUUAUUUACACAUUAGAAUUAUUGAGAAUUUUU
rnacentral:lncRNA from 1 species